UGAUGGUCACACCUCGGCCAGCAGCCUUGGACACUAUCUGGGACGCCAAUUACAAACUUAUUGCAAAACGUUUAUUAUCGCUUAUUUUGAACAUCAUGAUCAUCACAACCCCAUAUGAAGCCGUGUGUGCGCGGACACACCUUGCCCAAACAUGCACAUAUUUGCGGUGGAGGGAGACAGGCUCCUUCACGCUCGGCUCACCGCACUUAUAAAGUUUCACUCGCGACUGCUCGAAACUAUUCUGCGAUCGAACCAACACGGAGACUUCAACAAAAGAGCAUUUUAGUUCUUUUAUUGUUGGAUAAUUCCGUUCCGCCAGAUUGGUGGUUGUGAAUCAGGAAAAGCCGGUUGUGUGUUGGCCCGACAUGUAAAGGUUCAUACCUCCAACAUCUCGGCCAGACCUUCCUCUGUUAAGCAGGCAUGUUUCGUCAAAAAGGUUUCCUUCUCUUGGAUGUAUUCGUCUCUGGCCGAUCUCCAGUUUGGCUCUUCGAGAAGUUGGAAUAUUGCGGCACCGAUCGAUAGGUAGAAAAUAAUACACGAAGUUAAAAAAGGACCUGUAUCCGCCAUAUUAAAGUCAUAACUUCAAUCCG